CAAAAUUCCUGUCUGGGAUUGGAAUGUUUUAUUCAGUUGUGUGUCCACCAAGGAAACGCGGUUAUGCAUAUGAGAAGGUCUCAGAGAAGAGUAUCAUGACAUCAAAUUCUCCAUGAUUUAAUUGUUUUGGUGCUCAUAAAGAUAGGGAAUAAGAAUGGUGGGUGAAUCUGCUUGUAAAGUGUUCGACGAAAUGCCCGUGAGAGUUUUGUUGGCACGAAAGUUGUAUAUGGGUUUAUGACAGACGAGGGUUUUGGCUCUUGGCUUUCUCCUAGUCCAGGAAACAAACUUAUUAUAAUCUUCUCAUUGGAUUAUCAUUAGGUAUAGAGACAGGAAUUUCGUUAGAGAUUAAGUGCACUAAAUAAUCACUCUCGCUUGCUGGUCAAGUUAGUAAUAACAUGAACGUUGGCUUUUAGGACUGUUUAUAUCCUAAGCCUGUUUAUGGACAAAUCCAAUUUAGAUAAGAAUCUGAGACUUUGCUGCGGCCCGAGAGCAUUUCU